CUCCUUACUGUGAAUUCUGUCAGUGUAUCAUUGAUUGUGCUGGAACCUGCCUUUUGGGAUAAUUACCAAAUAAUAUAUUCCUCAAAACUUCUUAAUGGCACUGAGGCUUUGUGGAUAGUUGGUCACAUGAUGAGAAAAUUGAGCUCUACCAUCUCUUCUGAAGCUUUUCACUUGCUACCUCUCUGACCAUCCUACCUUCCAUGUUGAGAAUACUGUCCUAACUUCUGAUGUGGAAGACUGCUGACCUUUUCCUUUGAUGCUGAUACCAGUAUUUUCUAUGGGAGAUAGUACUGUAGUGAAGACAUAGAAAAAGAAGAAUAUGGCAUUUGUCAAUUUUUUAUAGUUUUGAAUAUAGUUAAGCAAAAUUGUUCUUCUGUCUUCAUAUAAAAUGUGCUGGUUUCGUAAUGUACUUGUAAUUUGAAGAUGUUUGUAGAAAUGUAAAAUCAAAUGUGAAGAAUACAAAAUCUAUAUUAAAGACAUUUAAAUUUAACAAAAUAUAGCAUUAGUCUUUAUUUUAAAAAUUGAGUCCUACAUGGCUCACUUGCAAAAAGUGGGAUAGAUUUAAAAAGUUGUGUACUGGUAAAGUCUGACUUACUAAAAGGUGAAAUUAUUUUCUUCCUCCCUACGGUAAUAUUUUCUUGAUUUAUACCUAUUAAAGAUCUCUCCUUCUCUUGAGUUCUCUGUUUUCUCCU
rnacentral:lncRNA from 1 species